CGGUGCCCACUGGCCAGAGAUCGAGAUUCCGCUUGGUUGAUUGGUUCCAUGCAAAUGGCAGCGUCGGAGGGACGACGUCGGCGGGGCAAGAGCAAGCCCAAGAAGACGAAACAGGCCGGGCGGCCAACAACCGUGCAAGACAUCCCUGACCAUCUCUUGGAGCGCAUCCUGCUCCGCCUCGGCCCAUCCCCGUGCCAGCUCGUCCGCUCCGCGGCCGCGUGCAAGCGGUGGCGCCGCGUCGCGGGGGACCCUGGCUUCCUCUCCCACUUCCGCUCGGUCCACCUGCAAAUGCCGCAGCUCGGCUACUACCACGCCGUCAAAGGGCACGCUCUCUUCGUCCCAUCGUCCUCUUCGCCGGUCGCCGUCGACGGCCGCCACUUCUCCCUUGACUUCAUCCCGGACAGCGGGUCCUGGGACCUCGCAGACAGCCGCGGCAGCCUCCUCCUCCUCUCCAAGAAGAGGGCGUGCCUCCAAGCGUGGCCAGGGCACCAUUACGUCUGCCGCUGCUCUGCCGAUCUCAUCGUCAGCGAGCCUCUCACGGGGCGCUACCAGGGGAUACUUUGGCCGGCAGAUUUGGACGGAAUCGGUCGCCUCGGCGUGUUCCUGCUCGACGGCGCCGAUCGCCUGAUCAGCAUGUCUAACUUCAGGGUCAUGGCCGCGGUCGACAAAGCCGUGGCCUGCGUGUUCUCCACGGGCGGCGACGGAGGCUGGCGCUUGGUGCACAGCGCGGCAACCAGCGACGCCGAUCUUCCGUCGACGCUCGGCCCGGAAGACUUCGUGGGACGCGCCAACGGCACCCUAUUCUGGGGCGUGGAAGGAAACGCCACCGAUGUGCUUGCUCUUGACGAGACCACCCCGAAUUUCUCCGUCUUUGUGUUCCCAGGGAGCAUUUGGGGCCCGUCCUCCCAAUAGAACUCUCGGAUCGUCGGCGGCGAGGACGGCGUGCUGCGUGUAAUCCGUGUGAUAAGCAACGAGCUUAAAGUCUUUGCUCGGUGGCAUUCGGGCAACGACGACGAGUGGGUGCUGGAGAAGCUCCUGAGGUUGCCAGAGGCCACCGUGGGGCUGCCGGGGCGCGAGGAGAGCUUCUUCCAGCAAGAAGCUGUGAUCGUCGCGGCGGAUACCAGAAAAGUCCUAUUGACACCGAGCGAGAAGAGGUGGACGUUCUCAGUCGAGCUCGACACGCUGAAAGUAGAGCGCCAGUGGAACAAGUACGCUGGGGCAGUGUUCCCUUACAAGCUGCCGAUGCCGACGGCCUUGCCUGAUCACAAUAUCGGCAGGAGGUGAUGACGUCUCUGGUCUGAUGAUGUAGUGUCAAACUUCUGAAGAACCAUAUUGCUAUUUUCUCGAAAUUUUCAUUCCACUCUGGUGACUAUCGGGUCCCCUAAUUCACCCGAAAUUUCCGCAUGGCCCGGCUGUUUGAUGAAAGCCUAACCAUGUCAAAUAGUCAAAUACUACUUACUUUUACCUAACUUAAUUGUACCUAACCUAGCUAACCUAGUGGGCGUUCGCCUGCUCCUGCAGAGUUCCAGACGUCUCCCACCGGUUGCGCAGAAAGGAAAUCUGUUGUUUCGGUUCUUCUAUAUAAGGUUUCAAUCACAUUCCCUCGGGAGAUCACAUUUGUUGCAUGUUUUCGGAUGUUCUACAUUCUUCUCCCGUAUGUUUGAUUACAAUAAACUAUAAAAUGGACUGUGUAAUGCUUAUUGACUUGAGGUAACA